GGAAGGAUCAUUAUUGAAAUAAAUCUGAUGGGUUGUUGCUGGUUCUCUAGGGAGCAUGUGCACGCCUUGUCAUCUUUAUAUCUCCACCUGUGCACCUUUUGUAGACCUUUCAGGUCUAUGUUGCUUCAUUUACCCCAAUGUAUGUUAAUAGAAUGUUGUGCCUAUAUACAAUAUAUACAACUUUCAGCAACGGAUCUCUUGGCUCUCGCAUCGAUGAAGAACGCAGCGAAAUGCGAUAAGUAAUGUGAAUUGCAGAAUUCAGUGAAUCAUCGAAUCUUUGAACGCACCUUGCGCUCCUUGGUAUUCCGAGGAGCAUGCCUGUUUGAGUGUCAUUAAUAUAUCAACCUUCUCUUGUGGAAUGGUUUGGAUGUGGGGGUUUGCUGGUCUCAUAUAUAUAUAUAUGGGUUCAGCUCUCCUGAAAUGCAUUAGCAGAACGACCUGUUCAUUGGUGUGAUAACUAUCUACGCUAUUGAAUGUGAGGGGCAGUUCAGCUUUCCAACAGUCCUUUUGGACAACUCAUCAUUAAUGUGACCUCAAAUCAGGUAGGACUACCCGCUGAACUUAAGCAUAUCAAUAAGCGGAGGAAAAGAAACUAACAAGGAUUCCCCUAGUAACUGCGAGUGAAGCGGGAAAAGCUCAAAUUUAAAAUCUGGCGGUCUUUUGGCUGUCCGAGUUGUAAUCUAGAGAAGUGUUAUCCGCGCUGGACCGUGUACAAGUCUCCUGGAAUGGAGCAUCAUAGAGGGUGAGAAUCCCGUCUUUGACAUGGACUGCCAGGGCUUUGUGAUGCGCUCUCAAAGAGUCGAGUUGUUUGGGAAUGCAGCUCAAAAUGGGUGGUAAAUUCCAUCUAAAGCUAAAUAUUGGCGAGAGACCGAUAGCGAACAAGUACCG
rnacentral:sRNA from 1 species